UUCUAAUUGAACAUUGACAGUCACAUGCUAUGUUUUGAUUGGACGUUGACAACAAUAAUACAUUUUCAUCAUCCAAUUAGAAUGUAACACAUGACAGUUAACAUUC
rfam:Glycine max cultivar Williams 82 chromosome 15, whole genome shotgun sequence.